rnacentral:rRNA from 1 species
AUACUCACGGAAACGUGAGCUAAUACCGGAUAAUCGGUUCCUUCGCCUGGAGGGAUUGUGAAAGGUGCUUUGGCACCACUUGCGGAUGGGCCUGCGGCGCAUUAGCUAGUUGGCGGGGUAAUGGCCCACCAAGGCGACGAUGCGUAGCCGACCUGAGAGGGCGAUCGGCCACACUGGGACUGAGACACGGCCCAGACUCCUACGGGAGGCAGCAGUAGGGAAUCUUCGGCAAUGGACGAAAGUCUGACCGAGCAACGCCGCGUGAGUGAGGAAGGCCUUCGGGUCGUAAAGCUCUGUUGCCAGGGAAGAAAGUCCGGGGGAGGGAAUGCCCCCGGGUUGACGGUACCUGAGAAGAAAGCCCCGGCU